rnacentral:lncRNA from 1 species
UUGAUUCCACCUUUUGUUGAGUUCAGAAGAGCACAGGAAAUGCUGCAGUCACAGACAUUUUUAGCAAACAGUCUCCCACAUCCUCCUUCCCAGACUUCCCCAUCUCCACGCCUCUCUGACCACUUUUGCAGCAGAACCACUAUUUUCUAGGUUAGCAGUUCUCAACUGUGGGUGAGUUUGCCCCUUGGAGACAUUUGUUGAUGUCUGGAGACAUUUUUUUUUUUUGUCAUCACAACUAGGUGCAUGCUGUUGACAUCCAGUGGCCCUGCUGGAAUUCAUUAACCUAGUUUCAGGCUCUGUAUGUUGGGACUGAUGAAGCAAUCCUGAAGAUGGUUCCUCUGGCAUCUCAGCUUCACAAAUUAUGCACACUCAUUUGAGAUACUGAUUCCUGAGGCCUGCCCAGGCUCCCCGGUGCCACGGUGUGUCUUCCUGUGGAGGAAAUGAGGCUGACACAACAGGCAGAAGGCUCCAACACAAAGGGUUGAUGAUUUAUUUGCAUUUCUGCAAAAAUAAAAGUGAAGUGCAGUUAAUAACAGAUCUGUCUGAUGACAUUGUAAGUGGGAAAAGAAGAAACGUGAGUUUAACUCUUUAACAGAGGCAAAUCCUUAAGUUGAUUUUUAACUUCAAUUAGGGCACACAACAUUUCUAAGACACAGCUUUACAUAUGUUUUUAUUUCACUGUGAGGAAUACUAUAAAUCCAAUAAUAAAAGAUAAAUAUCAAAGGGGAUGUUCUGAGGAAAACUGGGGAAUAGUGUUCCAUGAUGUCCAGAUGUAACAAAAUCAUCUUGUACUUUCUUCUACUGAUGGUUUCAG